GGUCCCGUAGUGUAGUGGCCUACCACGCCUGCCUGUCACGCAGGAGAUCGCGGGUUCGAAUCCCGUCGGGACCGCCA
rnacentral:tRNA from 1 species